rnacentral:rRNA from 1 species
UACGUAGGGUGCAAGCGUUAUCCGGAAUUAUUGGGCGUAAAGAGCUCGUAGGCGGUUUGUCGCGUCUGCUGUGAAAACUGGAGGCUCAACCUCCAGCCUGCAGUGGGUACGGGCAGACUAGAGUGCGGUAGGGGAGAUUGGAAUUCCUGGUGUAGCGGUGGAAUGCGCAGAUAUCAGGAGGAACACCGAUGGCGAAGGCAGGUCUCUGGGCAUUAACUGACGCUGAGGAGCGAAAGCAUGGGGAGCGAACAGG